rnacentral:rRNA from 1 species
AAGACACCGUAGAGACAGCUACCACAUCUCAGGAAGGCAGCAAGCACAC